AUUUCCUUUUGCUAAAUAAAAAAACUUUAAAACUUCCUCUCAUCAGUUCAAUCCAGCGGUAAGAGCGAACAAAUAGAAGUAUUCGAACUAAGAGAUGUCAAAGAAACUCCAUCUGAAAUUCGAUUCCCCAUAAACUGAGACCCAUGUGCCAUCGAUAAGUAUGACUUCCGUCAAUUAUGUAAGUGUUUCUUCUCUUAAUCGCGUCGAUUUGUUUUCGGCUAUCCUGAAAAUGUAUUGAGUUUGUGAUAAUCGGAAAUCAACUAAUUGGUAUUUUACUCAUUUUGUUAAAUUUGCGUUUGGUAGUCUCUAGGGAACAAAGCUUUGAUUCAAGAGUUAUUCACUUCUGUGUAAUAUCCCCUUGCAAACUAUGUGUAAUUUUUUAAUCAUUUUGUUCCGUACUAAUUAAAAAAUGGGACCGAUGUUUAAAUUUUUGUACAAUUGAAUUGUCUCUGGUGAUUUUAAUACAAUUUGUUUAUUCAUGUUUCGCUUUGAUCAUAAUUGAUUGAUUGGUAUCAACAUUUGUCGGAUUUAGAUGAAUAUCCACGCUAAGGAACCAGGGACAGAGCAAAUGUAUGUCCUUUCCCACGGUAUUUAUCUCAUUGUUAUGGAUUUAGGUUGACACUAUGACUUUAAAAAGUUUAUAUGUUCUUUCGUUUUCAUUCUAUCUACACCAUCGUACAACUAAAAAAAAAAAAAAGAGAAGCAUGUCAAAGUUGAUACUAUUUCUAUAUACAAUGGUAAAUUGCUCUGUCAGUUAGCAGAAAUGAUGUAGCUGUUAAUGGAUGUAGAAAGUGGUAAAAGAAGAGGAGGAAUAGCUAAAGAUGCUAAAAGAAGAAUGGAGAAGAAAUGCAUAUUUCUGUUAAGUGGUUGGUACUGUUGGAGGUAAAAAUCGCAUCUCCAGUUUUCUCCAGUAUAAACCAAAAUAAUAAACCCGGUUAACGAUGGAAGAGUACCAGAAGAACUGGGCCAAACAAACUCCUGGACCGAUCUAGGCUCAUGAACACGGAGUCAGUGGAAACUUUCUAAAAGAAUAAGGAAAAUUUCUGCUUUCGGCCUAAAGAAAAAGAAACUCUCUUGAGUUUCACACCUCAAAGUGAGAAAGAGAUCUCGCGGAAGACCGACUUAAGAUCUAUAUAAAAGAGAACGACACAUAGAAUAAUCACAAGAGACAGAGAGGUUGAGAGCUAAGACAUUCUAAGAAUAUUGAUUUCAAAUCCUAGUUCGUUUGUAAUCUGCUUAUAAACGAACUAAAUUGUAUUUUCCCAAUCUAAUUUUAAUAAAACCGAACUCCGAUCUAAAUUACUGUUUUAUUUUCUUUGUUGAUUUUUACAUUGUUGGGGUUGGUUUCCAUCUCGACCGGUUUAACCAUCUCUGAAAUGAUUAAGUAUUCAAAAGAUGAUCUCCAGCCGCGUUCUGGCCGAGCCCCAUCCUAACCAGAGUGAGCCGAGCCCUGUUUGGACACAAAUGGGCUGAGCCCUGCCUGAAUACAAGUGGGCCGAGCUGGGUUGAGGAUAAGUGAGUCGCACCGUAGUGGGCUUAACCGUCACCAUCUGAAGGACGAGCCGAAUUGGGCCGAGCCACGUUCCAAAAGACAUGGGUCAAGCUGCGAAUAGAGAGGAGAUGGGCCGAGCCGGUUCCUCUCUCAUUGGGCCGAGCUGAGUCUUCUUUGGUGGGCCAAACCGGGUGGUAGUCGACGACUAGCAGGCCUAGCCGUGAAGGUAAAGCCCAUGUAAAAACUCUAGACGAAGUGCAAAGACGGUGGUCGCGCGAGGAGUUAAAAAAAAAUUCUGAGAAUCUCUCUCCGGAUCCUCGGCUAGGCGGUUUGUAGAACUAUUAUAAAUAGUCGAUGUAUCCGAUUCAUUAUGUAACUUUUCACAGCAAUAAAAAUCUUCUUUUGAUCUUUGUGUUGUAAUGAUAAACCCUAGAAAUUUCGGAUCCUUCUUAGUUUCUUGCGAGUUUUGGCUCACACAAUUUGGCGCUGACUGUGGGGAAUUGAAAUCUUCUUACUCGAAAAUCGACAAGAUCCUAAGAUCCGAAGAGUAUGGCGAGUAACACCUCUGACGACGAGAAAAAAACAAUACCAACAACAACGGCACGGAAAAGGAUGCUCCCCCAUCAAGUACGACAACAACAACCACCGAAGCACAGGGCGAGAUGUGGAACGUGCUGACCACGUUGAUGAAGAAAAUUGAGGAGCAGGAUAAGAGGAACAAGGCGAUCACGGAGCGACUCGACGCAAUAACAACCGAAAGACGGCAUCCGACUUGGAGAGCUAGGAUAUCUGAUCCGAUAGAUGGAGUCAGGAGUCUCUUUGACUUCUCGAUGCCUGCAGGAGCAACCGGUAAUGGUGCGAGACAUCCCAUGGCUCCGCCGAUGUUUCUCCCCCUUGACGAACAAACUCCAGCGGCAACCGAGUCAACAUAACCGAGCUGCCCCCAUUUCGUCAGAGCUCCAGACGGUUAGGCGAUGAGGACGAAACCAAUGUAAUUGACGUGGAUGCCCAGCAGAACGAUGGUACCAGAGACCCGCAGCAGAACAGCUUGGCUUGGCGGAUAAGUCGCGAAGAACUCGCCUCGGCAUUUAAUGGUAUCCAAACUGGCGGAGGACCGACCCGACCCACGACAACAAUCCGACUGAAGAAGAAGAGGACCUCCAAUGGGUUGAGCAAGCGGAGUACGGCGACGAGACGAGGAGAAAAAAUCAUGACCGACCUUGCACACCUAGGAGAAUGACCUGUGCUCAGACCCAAGAGAUGGAAGAGCUCCGAGUCUCCAUGGCUCAGACAGUUACUGAGAUCGGCGCCAUGAAAUCCCAGGUGCACAAUGCAUUAAGCACCGCGCUAGAGAUUGACCGAAUGCUUGAAGAAAUUCAAAGGACGCCAUUCACGAUGAGGAUCAGGGAUGCUAAGAUUCCCAUACCGGGAAAGGUCAGAAUCUCUUUUUACGAAGGAACCUGCGAUCCGAAAGCGCAUAUGACGGCUUUUCGCAUAGUAAUGGGACGAGCCUUCACAAGGAACGCUGCUAAUCUAACCGAGCAGGAGAGAGAUGCUAGUUUUUGCUUACUGUUUGUACAACACCGCAAAGGAGCCGCACUGGAGUGGUUUUCGAGGCAAAAAUGAAGUUCAAUUAAUAGCUUCCAACAGCUCUCCGCUUUAUUCCUGAAGCAGUACUUGAUGUUCAUGGACCGAGGAACUUCUGAUGCCGAUCUAUGGACGCUGUCUUAAGGACCGAACGAACCGCUUCAGGACUACAUGGCUAGGUUCAAGGCUGUCAUAUCCAAAGUAGAAGGAAUAAGCGAUAAAUCCACCCUCACUAAAAAGCGAUCUCUAUGGUAUAAAUCCGAGUUUUGACGGGAGAUGGCGCUGAAUACGCCACAAAUGAUCCAGGAUGUCCUACAUCGAUCGUCGGAUUUUGUGGUGAACAAAGAAGAAAUGAAAUUUUCGGACGAGCAAUAUGAAGCAACGAAAGCAGCGAUUGGAGCUCGAUUCUGAUGCGACCCGCAAGAAAAGGGAACCCCGUAAAUAACUCAACACUGCAGAGCUCGAAAAAACCGAGAAUCGGUGGUAUCCAUAAUUACUGAGUAGGUACUGGUCGAGGAAGAGGCGAGCCGCGCAACAACACUUAGAUAAGAAAAUCUAACAACUAUGAAGAAAAAGCAUAUUACGAAUAUCAUGAAACACAUGGACAUUCAAUAGCGCAAUGCAAAAUCCUUGGAGCCAAGCUUGCAGCCAAAAUGGCAGCUGGAGAGCUCCAAAACGCAGUUAGUGUCAAAGACCUCGCUCCCACCAAACUAAAGGAGAGAACCGAGCCGAGCGGCACGGCGGAAGCGACAGAUCAUCCCCGACGAGGCAAUAGGACUAAGCGAGAUAGGAGAGGCGAGUCCGAAGAACGAUCCAAGCCAAGACAAAGGAUCAAUAUGAUUAUGGGUGGGUUACAGUAUUACCAAGACACGGUGUACUCUAUCAAAGCUUAUCAACACAAGGCCGAGGCCAAAGAGAACUAGACCGAACCGACGGAUUUCCCAAAUACAAUGAUCUCAAUUGCUGAAGAGGAGACAUCGGGAAUAGACAGAGCACAUACUGAUCCGCUGGUGAUCGAGAUGACGAUCAGAGAUCAUAAUGUGGCAAGAGUGUUAAUCGACAAUAGGAGUUUGGUAGACGUCAUCUUUAGGGAGACACUCAAAAGAAUGGAAAUUGACCUCUCCGAGGUGACCACCACUCCUAAGCCGGAUUUUCGGGAGAAAUGAUAAUGACUAUGGGAACGAUCAGGCUUCUCGUAUUAGCUGGAGGGGUCACCAAAAUCGUUGAAUUUUUUGUAGCAGAUCAUCCCGCAAUUUACAAUAUGAUCAUGGGAACCCCAUGGAUUAACGCCAUGAGAGGUAUUCCCUCCACCUAUCAUCUUGUAUCAAAUUCCCAACUUUGGGAGGCAUCAAGACAAUCUGGGGGAAUCAGAAAGAGUCGUUGAUGUGCUUCCUACGAAGCACAAGCUAAGGAAUCCCGUUACCAACACACACGCAGAUAUAGAUCGCAAGAAGCUUAAGACAAACUUGGAGCCCGCGAAUGAGCUCUCCAAACUCUUAUAGCAAUUACAGAUAGCGGAGAUCCGCAAAACCUGCACCGAGCCAGUAUGUGAUCUGUUAGUAUUGGUGUGCAUAGACAAAACGCAUCAGGAGAGGUGUGUAGAGAUCGAAACCAAACUUGACGAACCUUUCAAAGACGAGCUCAUUUCCUUCCUCAAGGAAAACAUAGGCACUUUUUCUUGGAGUGCAGAAGACAUUCCGGGAAUAAGCAUCAACAUAACUUGUCCGAGCUGAAUGUGGAUCCGACUUUCAAACCAGUCAAGUAGAAGAGGAGGAAGCUCGGUCCCAAGCGAGCUAAAGUGGUCAGUGACGAAGUAAAGACUGAUCAAGGUAGGCUCGAUUGCCGAGGUGAGGUAUCCAGACUGGCUCGCAAAUCCCGUGGUGGUGAAGAAGAAGAAUGGUAAAUGGAAGGUUUGCAUAGACUUCAUGGAUCUCAACAAAGUGUGCCCAAAGACAGUUUCCCAUUGCCGCAUAUCGAUCGACUUGUAGAAGCCACAUCAGGGAAUAAGCUACUAUCAUUCUUGGACGCCUUCUCCGGAUAUAAAAAAAUCUUCAUGUAUCCCGAUGAUAGAAAAAAAUGGUAUUUAUAACCGACUGCAGAAUAUACUGUUACAAGGUGAUGCCUUACGUCCUCAAGAAUGCUGGGGCAACUUAUCAAUGGCUCUUCAACAAGAUGUUUGAAGACCAGCUCGGAAAAACCAUGGAGGUAUAUAUCGACGACAUGUUGGUCAACUCGCUGGAGGAAAAAGACUACGUCACACAUUUACGAGAAUGUUUUAAGCAACUGAAUAUGUACAACAUGAAAAUAAACCCGGUGAAGUGCCGAUUUGCCGUGACCACAGGCGAAUUUCUCGGCUACUUGGUGACGCACCGGGGUAUUAAAGCAAACCCCAAACAGAUCAACGCAUUAAUCGAGCUGCCAUCCCCAAGGACAAAGCGAGAAGUUCAACGACUUAUAGGAAGAAUCGCCACGCUGAACCGAUUCAUCUCGCGAUCAACUGAUAAGUGCCUCACCUUUUAUGAUACUCUUCGCGGAAACAAGAAAUUCAAAUGGGACGACAGAUGCGAGGCAGCUUUUCAGGAGUUGAAGGCCUAUCUGGCAAGCCCACCGGUUUUAGCAAACCAGCAGCUAGAGAACCGCUCUUCCUUUACAUUUCCGUAUCCUCAACAACAGUUAGUGAGGUGCUGAGAAGAGAAGAGCACGGGGAACAAAAGUCAAUCUUCUACGUCAGCCAGAUAUUGACCGACGCCGAGAUUCGUUACCCCAAAAUAGAGAAUGUCGCCCUAGCCGUGGUGAUGUCGGCUCGAAAAUUACGACCUUGUUUCCAAUCCCACUCGAACAUAGUACUCGCAAUAGUGCCAUUACGCUUGAUCUUUCACAGCCCGAGCCAAACGGGCCAGCUCGUCAAAUGGACAGACAAACUCUGCGAGUACAACGUCGAAUAUCGGAAUAGAUUAUCCGCAAAGUCUCAGGUGGUCGCAGAAUUCCUCGUCUAACUUCCCCCCGACGCAACAGUUGAAUCAACCUCAGAAAAUAUUUGGAUGUUGCACGUCGACGACUCGUCAUCAAAACAAAGCUCUGGAAUAAGAAUUCACCUCACAUCACCAACAGGAGAAAUCUUGGAAAAAUCAUUUCGUCUCAACUUCCAUGACUCGAACAACGAUACGGAGUACGAAGUACUGAUCGCUGGUUACGAUUGGCACUCGGAAUCAAAGUUCGGAAGAUAAGAGCUUUCUACGAUUCCCAGCUGGUAGCGAAUCAAUUCAACGGGAGUACAAAGCAAAGGAUGGGAGAAUGGAAGUCUACCUCGGGGUUGUCGAGAUCCUGGUAAAACAGUUCGACGAAUUCGAACUCACGCGGAUACUCUGAGGCAAAAACGUUUCGGCAGACAUUCUAGCAGCCCUUGCCUCGACUUCAGAUCCAGAUUUAAGAAGGAAAUACCUGUCGAAUUUAUCGAACGGCCAAGUAUAGAAGUGGUGGAAGGAAUUCGGCUGAUUAACCCCCUAGAGGAGGAACAUGAGCCCAAAAACGGCAACGAGGCGACACCAAUGGCGGAAGACGCAUUGUCAGCCGAGCCGGAGUACGGGUGCGACAACGAAUGGCUCAGGGCAUCGCCGACGGCGAAGUCCCAUCAAACAAAUGGAAAGCUCGGAAACUAAAGGCCGAGACCGUGCGAUAUGUUCUCAUCGUUGGGGAAGUUUUCAAGUGGUGCUUUUCGGGAUCAUUAAUGACUUGCGUAGAAGGAGCCGAGGCAGGGAAAAUAAUGCAUGAAGUGCAUGGUGGCGCAUGCGGAAAAUAUUCCAGCCGAAGAUCCUUAGCAAUCAAUAUAAAGCGGCACAAAUAUUAUUGGCCGACUAUGGUUAUAUAGUGCAAGAAAUUCACCACAAAGUGCAAAAAAUGCCAAUGACACGCGCCGACCAUACACUAACCAACCGAGCUGUUGUCAUCAAUCUUAUCGCCCUACCGCUUCAUGAGAUGGUCAAGGAAUAUAAUUGGACCUCUUCACAGAUCGAGGCAGAAGCAAUUCCUAUUGGUUCUCACCGAGUACUUCUCAAAGUGGGUGGAAGCAAACUCUUAUGCAAGCAUAAAGGACGCUGAAGUCGAACACUUCGUCUGGAAGAACAUCAUCUGUCGACACGUGGUCCCCUACAAAAUAGUCACCGACAACGGAUCUCAAUUUAUAUCUACCCGUUUUGAAGCUUUUUGCGAGAAGUGGAAAAUUCGCCUAAGUAAACCCACGCCAAGGUAUCCCCAAGGGAAUGGACAGGACGAGGCGGCCAACAAAACAAUUUUAGAUGGAUUGAAGAAAAGGCUCGAUGCUAAAAAGCGACGAUGGGCAGACGAACUGGAAGGAGUCAUCUGGUCGCACCGAACAACUCCGCGCCGAGCCACCGGAGAGACCCCAUUCGCCCUUGUUUAUGGAACAUAAUGCGUGAUUCCCCCAAGGUGAAUUUCUCCAGAAUACAACGAAGACUUUUUCCUAGAAAAGAAGAACUAAACCACUUGAUGAUGCUACAAGCUCGACUUAAUCUUCGAAAAUCAUGACCAAGCCCUGAUUCUGAUUCAGAACUAUCAACGAGCAACAGCUCGGUACUACAACAAGAAUGUUCGAGACCAGAGAUUCCAGCAAGGAGAGCUCGUCUGAUAACUAAGAUUUUUCAGGUCUUAGAUGGGUUAUCAAUCCCCUUCUCAAAGUAGUAUAAGGGGUGUCAAUCCAUAUGUGUGGUAGUUGGGCACUAGUUUAUGUGAUAAGCUCUUAAGUCAAGUGAUCAAAGAUGAGUUUUGGUGUGAACAAAGUAACAAAAAAGCAUAAAGCAAGAAACAAGCAAGCUAUGAUGAAUGAACUAAACAAAGCAAGCAAACAAAACAAAGUGAUGAUGAUUAACCUCUAGAUGUGAUCAUUGAUUAGGGUGCUGUAGAUAUCAAUUCAUGAUGCUAAGAACAAUAAUGCAAUGCAAGUUACUCUUUAGUCUAUACUUCAAAAGCAGAUUAAUUCAUUCCCAUGACAAUAAUCCCUUUGCUAAUCACUUAAUCAAGUCUAACAACCAUUAGAUAUAAUCAAGCAAUCAACAAGCAUAAUGCAUCAAGCCUAAUAAGUGACCAAACAAUCUCUCAACCAAGAAGACUGAAUCUUACACAGAAAGACAUAGCAAGCAAUCACAUGAUCUCAAACAUUUCAACUUAGAACUCUAAUCUAGACUAAUCCUCUCAUGAAGGCAUUAAUCUCUACAGUAAUCCACUUUCAAACCAAAUUCCCAUUUGUGAAAUAUGAACUAAUGAGCAUUAAGAAACAGUUCUAAUAUGUCAUUUAUGCAAUUAACAAACAUUCCCAUGGCAUUAAUGCAUAAACCCUUAGUUAGCUUUCAUUCAGGCAUUUCAUCAAACACCUUGUGGGUGGAGAUUUGCCUAAGCUCUAGACCAGAGUGAUGUGCAAAGAUCUAGCAUUAGGAACAGCUAACUAAGGAAAUGAAAUGAGAAUCUAGUCCCUAAACAUCAUAAAUCAAACAUCUAAGCACCCUAAUCUACACACCUAGAAGCUUAAAAGAUGACUACUCACUAAUCAUGAAGAACACAUCUAAUCUUUUGCAAGAGAUGAUGUUAAUCAUGAUUAGAAGCAGAAAUGAGAUGAUGAGAUGAUAAAAAACAGCUUCGGAAUGAUCAAAUCCCUUCAGAUAUCUCUUAAUCAAAAACGUUUUUACACUAAAAAGGAAAGAAAACUAGAUAGAAAACUAAUUAGAAGAUAAGAUGUUUCUAGGUUUUUUUCCCAAAAAAGUAUUAAUACUAAGUGUUAUGGAACGGGUCAGCCCGGAACAAACCGGGUACUGACCCGGCUUUGGUGGGUAAAGAUGAGAUUUGCCACGGUCUAGCAGCUCUUGGUCAAGUCAUGGCAAGUGACCGUGUCAAGUCCCGAAGCUUCUGUUCUUGGAUGAAUCUUGGUGCCACGGAUUCCCUUUGGUCAUGAUGCAUGGCCGUGUCAAGUCCCGAAGCUCUAAAGGAUCCCAAGUGUUGUCUUGCCACGUUCAAGUGUAGACCGUGGUGUGGAGACCGUGUCAAACUCCGAAGGAUUGCAUCAAGUGCCACGGUCAGAUGUGGACCGUAGCAUUCCACCGUGCCAUCCUUACACUUAGCACAAUUUCCACGCUCUUGGUGCUCGAAGGAUAGGUGUGUCUCUAUUCUUCCGGAACUCACGCCUCAAAACUCCAAAUGGAACGAUCUCAACUGUUCUGGAAAGAGGAAUCAAUUAUCUCGAAUCUUGAUGAAGAAAUCCUCAGCGCUUGGGAAGUGGAAGGUUCCCCGGAGGGCUCAUCUUUGCAGUACAUUGACAUGGUCAGAAAGAGGCUUCUAGACCCAUUCCGGAAACGUUAUCUUCUUGCUCAUGGCUUCAAAUUGAAUGAUCUCAAACGUUCUGGAAAGAGGACUCAAAUAUCUAGAAUCUUUAUUACGGACCUGUAGACUGAAUCGGUCUGGAAGUGCAUCGUCCUUCGCAAUCUUCGGAGCUCAUCGGGUCGGUCCAAAACGGUAGCGAGACAGGCGUGCCUUCCAGUGAGCUUAAGUCUCUACUCACGCCUCCAAAUUCUAUGAUUCCACCUGGUCUGGAAACAUGAUCCAAUCUUCUCCAAAUUUGAUGAAACACCUGACAACUGAAUCGGACCGGAAGGUUUCCCGGACGGGCGAUCAUUCAGGAGUAUCGGAUUGCUCCGGAAUGGAUGCGAGAGAGGUCUGUCUUCCGGUUACCGUAUCUUUCAGAUCAGUGCUCCAAAUGCCCUGAUUCAACCUGUCAUGGGUUCUUGAUUCAAUUAUCUCCAAUUUUGCUGAAGACCCUGUAAGCUGAAUCGGCCGGAAAGAUCUUUCCGUGACGCGAUUUCGGAAAUGUAUCUGCACCCAAGAUUUUUGGCCGAGAGACUUGACCGCGGUACGUGUUUUUGGUCGAGAGAGCAACCCGCGGGAAGGAUUUUGGCCGAGAAUCUUCGGUCAUCAGUACAGCAUUUUGCCGAGAAACCCAAAAUUGCUCCUUUUCACCAUUUUUGAUCAUUUCAACUCCAUUUAUUCAUCUGAAUCACAUCCUCCACUCCAAAUAGGCUCCAAAAGCACAUGUUUAACACUCCAAAACAUGCAAAACUCUCUUGGACCUAAUGCAAUCUCCUAAGUCCUAAAACAAUGCCUAAAGACCUAAAAUUCAUGCAAAUGAGACAUGAUGUGGACUAGAAUAUGUACAUUAAAUGAUGCAAUUUAUGAAUAUAUCAUCGUCCUCAGGAAAGUAUUCCAGAACACCGCCGAGAGGAACGCAGGAAAGCUCAGACCAAACUGGGAAGGACCCUACAAGAUCACUAAGGUGGUUUGUCCAAGGGUCUAUGAACUCGCAAUGAUGGAUCAUGGAACGCCAUGCAUUUGAAGAAGUAUUAUAACUAAGGACACACAACGAUUAACAUGAAAUAUGGGACGGCUUGAUCCCUGUUAAGGGUCUUUGGAUGGGUUCAGCUGUCCCCCCUCCUAAAAAGGGGGAGAGAGGGUGCGUAUACAUUAUACUUACGCAUUUUCUUUAAGAUUUCGGCUCAUUCACUUAGCUAUCACUAGUUUUCAUUUUACUUCGGCUAGUUUUUCACUUAUCUUAAAAGUUUCUUUAUUCUUUAUCUUUUCUUCGGCAAAACACUCAUUAUUAUACCACGUCGGCAAAUUUUUGAUAUCUUUCCAUUUCACUUCAGUAUCUAAACACUAAAACACCUCGUCUCGUUGCUCGCCACAACACACACAAAGUUCUCUAAACAGAUUUUUACCACCUUUCCUAGGACGAUGGUGCAAGUUACAUCCUCUACGGAUAAAAAAGCGCGCUAUAUAAAUUCCAGACCAAAAAAGCAUGAGUCGCAUCAAUUCACUAUCGUAUACGAGAUUAUAAGUCGAGACUACACCGCAUUCUCUAAAGACCGCUGUGAAUUCUAAAAACCCAGCUAAAACAUACUUAUCAGCUCGGAAACGCCGAUCCUGAGUCAUACUUUGCAAAGAAUAACAUGUCCUCAUCACAGCAACUUUUACCUUAAUUCAGGCAUAAUGCCUCGUUAUUCCUAUAGCUUAAUCAUGCUCGAGUUUAAACACCUAGGUUACGCCUAAAGCCUAUCGCCUCGUCACAGAUGAUCAAUCUAUAGUGACAGACGUUGCUUAGAAACAUAUUCACCUUCCCAGGAAAACGAGACAUAGAGUUGUCACAACUCAGAAAAAUCCAUCUAACACCACUCUCAUUCGGAAGGAAAAAACAAUCCAAAACGGUUUGUCACAAUAAGGAUCCAUCUUGAAACGGUUCAGAAUAAAUAAACACCAAGAAUUAACUAAGGCAAAUAAGCAAGAUCAUUACCGAAUAAAGCCGUUCAGGCUUAAGGUUCAACAAAUAGAGAAAGCAGAUAUAGCAGAUAAGGCCGCCCAGGCACAAGGUUCAGAAGCAAAGACAACAGAAAGAUAGUAUGGAUAAAGCCAUUCAGGCAUAAAAAAAUUCAGUACAUAAGCAAAGUAACCAGGAACUAUCCCUCUUGGCGCGGUUCGGAGACAGCCUCGGCGGCGAGAUCACCAGCUCUAGGGAUGUUGUUGUUAGAACUCGUCGGAUCAGUAACUCCAAUCGCAGCAGCAGUGACCUCCAGUUGCUUAGUUCCCAAGUGGGAAUCAACAGAGUCCGGUGAAACUGGCGUGACGACCAAUUUAUCCCUCAAAUCCGUCGCAGAGCGUUCAAACGUCUCCUCUGCUCCGAUUAGCUCGGCUUUCCAUACCUUCAGCUUCUCCUCGUCGGUGUCGAGACUGGCAUCUGCUUUCCGGAGAUCGCCGAUAAACACGAGGUUGCUCCUGAUUUGGCCGAGAUCGUUUUCAUCUCUCUUGGCUUUCUCCAAUUCUUCCAUUUUCUUCUCAAUCUCAUAGAGACGCUCCUAGAACUUAGUUGUUGCCUCACGUCUGGUUUCCUUUCAGGCAAGUGUAACCCGCGACUCGAGAAGGGAGUCUUUUGCUGUGUUUUGCCUAUUCAGGGAAGCGAUCUCGUUGUUCUUCCUUACCCGCGAAUCUUCGAAGCGAGUGGCCAUUUUCUCAUAAUCUACCUUUAAGGCCCAUUUCUCCUCCUCAAGUGCAUUAAUCCUUUCGCAUUCUCAUCCGAGGCUCUCUCUAGCUCGGCCAUUUGCUUAGCCUUUUCAAGGCGGCGUCUUGCUUAACUUUUUCAAGGCCGCGCUCGUCCUUAAGCGCGUCAGCCUCAUAGUCGGUCAUCAGCUCUAUGAUUGCAGCGUAAAAUUAAAUCCAAGAGAGUAACGGAGGAUCAGAACCAAGUCCAACACUAAGAAAAAACUAUCAAGAUAAAACGAUGAGUCAUACCUUGGUCACGCAUUUUGCCAACGCGACGUAGGACUUCGAGGAAGAGUGAUGCCAAAGCCUGGGCAUCGUCGACGACAAGCUUCUUGGUGACCACCUUCUGCUUCUUCCUUGGCACCUCAUCCUUUGCGGAGGUUAUUCCCUUACCCUUCUCCUCGGCAGAUCGUUUGCGGUUCAUCGCCUCGUUCUUCACAAGAUUGGAAGUAGGGGGCCUCGCCGAUUGUGGAAGCGCGAGUAUCGCCAAGGCAGUUGGCUUGGAAGGGUUCCUCAGCACAUUCGGCGUUAUGGAAGACGCCUCGGGGAUAAUCUCCCCCUGUUCAACUUCAUCUGCCUUGACUUCAUCUGAGCCAGCAGCGAAUGCCUCAUCACCUGGUUUCUCAGAGGUAGGCGGUUUCUCCCGGGUCAACGCCUCUCCGUCAGGCUUGGCACUCUCAUCAGUCUUCUCGGCGUUCGCCUCGCCUCUCUUGGAAGCCUCCUCGGCUUGCCUUUCAGCCUCAUCGGCCUCCCUUCUCUUUCGCUCUCUGAGGGUGAUUAUAAUCAUCUUCUCUCUCAUAUCGCCUGAGUACUUAGAAGAUCCUGAGCUAACUGGGAGUCCGGCUAAAAUGGAUUGGGCUCUCUUUAUUCUAUUAGAUCGAGAGAAAACUGGUGUUUCCAGUUGACCUUUCUAGCUAAUAAGGCGUCUCGAACAGUAAAUAGAUUGUCGGAAAUUGGAGGAAGAAUAUUCCAAACUGUGAAAAAAGAAAAAUAAUCAUAAGUCAGAAAACCAAAACAAAUUAUGCAAAGGUUCUGAGCCAAGGCAAUGCUUCAGGUCGACUAUCAAGUGGUCCCCAAUAUGUUUUGAUCCUGUGGACAAAGCCUUCGCCCACUGACGCCUCAUUCACUUGAACGUAGAAAAAACGCUUGGUUCAAAACUAUCUUUGCUCGAGAACCGUCGAUAAUCUGAUGUUUCGACUUGUUGGAGAUAUAAAACUUAUUCCCUCCCAGGGCCUUACGGAUCUCCAACAAGUUGAGCAGGUGGUUCAGCUCGACAUCAAUCCCGCCCUCAAAACUUCAAACCAAGAUACUGAUCAUAUGCCGUAAACCCCUCGACAUGAUUUGCCCAAUCGAGAUCAAAUGUUUCCAUAAGUACUCGAGGAUUACUUUGGGGAUCGGGAACAAGAGGAAGCACAGUUCAAAAAAUGCUUCGUAUAUAGUAAAGUGAUUCGCAGGAGGUCAGUCAGCCCUGUCGGUUUUUCUAGGAAGAAUGAAAUCAACUGUCUCAGAAAUUCUGAAGCGGUAUUGUAACGCCUCGAGGGAUUCUAGGGUCAUGAGAAUAUAACCGGAUGGAUCAGGUGUUUGCCUCUUUCCUCGGUGAACUUUCUUCUUUCCUGAAGAAGAAGCACCUUGGCUCGCCAUCAGACGCUCCAAUUCAAGCUUUGCUUUGACUGGAUCGAAUGGGAAAGCUUCCUCUUCGGCUUUCACCACGACGAAGUCUAUGGUCACAUAUCAUAUCGGUGAGAACCGGGACCCCAAAGAGACUUCGUCGAAGCAUCCACUUCGUUAUUUACAGAAUAAGCAUGAGAAUGGCUCGUCAAAUCGGGUGCCUCGCCUUCUAUAGAACGAGCACCAGAGGGUGUCCAAUGAAUCAUCAGAAACCUCGUCAUCAAUGGAACGAGCUAGGGAAUAGCUCGUCGAGUUAGUCGCCUCGUCAUUUGAAAGAAGCGUUUCGUAAUUAAAGAGGGUGUCCAAUGAAUCAUUAGAUCGGCUCGUCAUAUCUUACGCGAUGAUACAGAAGUUACAGCUCGGUAGAAACUUCUACACCAGGCUCGAUGGUUAUGAAAUAGGCGGCACGAAAUAAGGUAUAGGCGCGGCAAGAGAACAGCGGCGGCAACAAAAAACCCUAGCCGGAAAAUAAAUAAGUUAGAGAGAGAAAGAAUAGAGAAGGGAAAGCUACCUUUGUGUCAAUUUGGAGAUCUGAAGUUAUGAGGAAAAUGAGAGUUGAAGACCCUUUAUUAGACGUUUCAAAGCGCGUGGGGUUCGCAUAAACCUCAGGAAUCAGAAAAAUCUUAAAUACGUUGCGUGGAAUCCGUAACGGUCUCAUUUGCAAGAUCCGUAACGGUCUUAUUUGCAAGACGAACCAGUGACAGGGUGCAUCCAACACACGCACCUCGAGUUAUCAAGAAAAUAAAAUAGAACAGAACGGCUGAAAUCUUCGCUUCGCACACGCCUCGGCAUUAUACCUUAUGAAAAAUGCUUCGGCGUUACAUAUCUUUCACACGCUUUGGCGUUAUAUCUCGUAACAAACGCUUCGGCAUUAUUCGUCAUGUAACUAUCACAAUGAUCGAGCCUCUUCGCUAUCUCCUAGAUAAAUGGCUCGGCACUGUCUUCGGCAAAAAGCCUUGUCGCUAUUACAUAAUAUGGCUCGGCAAAAACCAUGUCGCUAUUGCAUAAUGCGGCUCGGCAGAAAAGCCUCGCCAUUGUUUCACGACUCGGCAAUAAAGAUGCCUUGUCAUUGUUGGCUCAAAGUGGCUUGGCAUCAUUUCACGCAAAAUGCCACGUCGCUAUAAACCCUACAAGCCUCGGCAUCAUCGGGACAUGUCUUGGUCAAUAGGCCCCUUUAGAGAUCCCACGACAUUGUAAGGUAUAGCUCGGCACCGUUAAGUGUGGAGCACGCCUCGGCAUUGGCAUAGCCUUUUACAAAUGCCCCAGUGCAACCUUGCGGAAAACGCCUCGGUAUUCUAAAAAAACAUACACACCAUAAAAGCAAAAACUUCGAGGAGUCUUGCCUUCUGUCUUCAAAGCUUGGUAAAGACGUGAGCUUGAAAUCUCUUCGCAACGGCUUGGCUCGAUGGCUAAACUUAUGGCCAGGAGUGAUGAACCUCGUCACUCUCGUAUCCAAAACUGACGAGGUGGGGGGGCUAACUGUUGGGGUCGGUUUCCACCCGACCGGUUUAACUAUCUCUGAAAUGAGUAAUUAUUCAAAAAACAAUCUCAAGCAGCGUUCGGGCCGAGCCCCAUCCUAACCAGAGUGAGCCGAGCCCUGUUAGGACACAAAUAGGCCGAGCCCUGCCUGAAUACAAGUGGGCCGAGCUGUGAAGAGGAUAUGUGAGUCGAACCUUAGUGGGCUUCACCGUCACCAUCUGAAGGACGAGCCCAGUUGGGCUGAGCCGCGUUCCAAAAGACAUGGGCUGAGCUGCUUACAGAGAGGAGAUGGGCCGAGCUCGUUCCUAUUUCAUUGGGCCGAGCCGGGUCUUCUUCGGUGGGCCAAGCUGGGUGGUAGUCGAUGACUAGCAGGCCUAGCCGUGAAGGAUGGAGCCCACAUAAGAACUCUAGACAAAGUGCAAAGGCGGUGGCCAGGCGGUUUCUAGAACUAGUAUAAAUAGUCGAUGUAUCUGAUUCAUUAUGUAACUUUUGCAACCCUAAGCAAUAAGACUAAACACUUUUCACAGCAAUUAAAAUUCUCUUUUGAUCUAUGUGUUCUUGUGAUAAACCCUAGAAAUUUUGGAUCCCUCUUAGUUUCUUUACAAGUUUUGAUUAUGCGAGUUUUGGCUCACACAUACAUAUCAACAAGUACACAUUCGAAGACGUGUGUGACUUCAAAAAACAAAGAAAAUCAACAUUGUAGUAAGUCAGUACUUUUAUUUCCAACGAUAUCAAAUGUCUGAAAUACAGAAUGAUCUAAAGGUAUGCUUCUUCUUUAGUCUGAACAUGUUUCAUUGAAAAGCUUAUAUAUGUAGUGUCAUUAUUUAAACCUACAUACACUCCAUAACCUUGAGAUUGACGACCCUUGCAAGGACUCUAUAAGGUAAAGGCUUUAUAAGGUUUUUUGUAAACCAGUUUACUUCAGUUUUGUAGGACAGUAAGAAUCCAAUGGUCUUCUACUUUAGUUGAGGACCCAAAAGCUUCAAAUUCAAUGAUGUG
rnacentral:lncRNA from 1 species